UACGUAGGGUGCAAGCGUUGUCCGGAAUUAUUGGGCGUAAAGAGCUCGUAGGCGGCUUGUCACGUCGGGUGUGAAAACCCGGGGCUCAACCCCGGGCCUGCAGUCGAUACGGGCAGACUAGAGUGCGGUAGGGGAGACUGGAAUUCCUGGUGUAGCGGUGAAAUGCGCAGAUAUCAGGAGGAACACCGGUGGCGAAGGCGGGUCUCUGGGCCGUAACUGACGCUGAGGAGCGAAAGCGUGGGGAGCGAACAGG
rnacentral:rRNA from 1 species